GCCACGCUUAAUUAAAUAAAUACACCAACAAAUAAUUAAUUGAAUGUGUCACUAAUUAAUUUAAAGUAGAAUUAAAUAAUUAAAAUUGGCAUUAAAUAUAUAAUUUAUGAAUUAAAUGGCAAUUUAUAUAAUGUAAUGUUAAAUAUUUCUUUCGCAAUUCAAUUCAUUAUUUAAUUUAUUUAUUUAAUUAUUUCAUGUUACGUGUGUUUCAGCACACCAUUAAUUAAAUUAAUCUGUCAAUCUCACCCAUCAAAGUCAGUGGGCGGAACCACUGACGCAAACGGGCGGGACUAGUGCCAAUCUGGUGUUAUCGACUGCUUUGGCCUGAAGCGUAACACCUCCUACAUGACAUGAAUGGAUCAAGGAGGAAAGCUGGUUCUAUUCGAAAUAUGACCAAAAAGGGUUGUGAGUGAUUGGGACUGUAGUACUGUCAACAUUUCAAGUGAAAGGCUUAGAGUUUUAUCUUUAGGGAAAUGUAUUCGUAAAAUUAGCUUGUUGGCCAUGAAGUUUUAAAAGGAGUGGAUGCAUGUUGUCGAGAUACGUUGAGGAUGACAGCUGCCUCCAAGUUCUUCUUGGCUUCCUCGCGGCCUAUCCAGGGGAUCCGGGAACCAAAUCUCCUCCAUCAUCGUGUUAGUUGUUUGACACACUUUCUCACAGAAAUAAAAAAGGGAUACUGAGACCAAACCGGCCUACUGAUGUCCAUACAGACUAGCCCUACACAAGACAAUGUCUGUCACAUUGGUGCCAUGACCGAGUUGGACCUUCGCCCAACCGGGAUCUUUCUGGACAUCAUCUGCGUUGUGAUAAUCAACAAAGCCUGACUGCCCACAACACCUGGAUCAGAGAGCCAGUCAAAUGAAAUCUGUCAAGAAAACCGCAGAUAAACAAGGCCUGUAUCAUCAUUGUAGUCUAGUACUACACUUUUAUUGUACACGAAUACAGAACAUGACAUGCUUGUAUCAUUGGAAAAAAAAAGCUAACUAUACAAUCAGUCAAGCACUCUCAGACGCACUCACUUACUAUACAACUCACCACACACGUUAUCCAUUACAAUGUGUUCAUUCAGCUCUAACAUACCCACAUUUUUUAAUUAAAAUCUCAAGAACCUGAAUGCAGCGUAUAUGUGUCUCCAGGCUACAAUGGGUUAAAGCGCUGGAGGCCAGAAGGAAAGUAGAGUGAUUACACUCAUUCUCAAACUGGGCGCAAUGUGGACAGUAUUCCAAGUGUGCCUUCAAAUAAUAUUGGUCUGUGGGUUUUGUUGUUUAUUGGGUCAGAGGUGGGCCCCAAGGUUCAGUUACACCAUUCUUUGUUACACCAUGAUUUUCCUAAAUGUAUGUAUAUCCCAGUUCAGUCUUGUUUAUAUAAUUCUGCACAACUUGGUCCAUCUUUCUUCCCAUGUUUAACUGCAGUCAACCUGCCAUCCAAGCCGAGGCCAAACACAUCAUAGCACUGAGGUGGUCAACCAAGGUUGCAGAUAGGGAUGAGUUCCACGACGUGUCCACCAAGACCAGAGGAGGCUGCUGCGGACAGCUCCCCUGCGAGAAACCUUGCUACGCCCAGUAUAGGCACACAACUCUAAUUUCACUGCAUGUUUCAGUAUUUCUAUGCAUGCAACCUAUAAAUCCUUUAAAUCGUGCAAUUGAUGUAGACUUGUAAGCCAUCUUUAAGCAACUAAUACGUUAUUCUAACCUCACAUUGAUACACAUUUUGUGCACUUCAGAUCAAUUUCCUGUAUUUUGUUCUUGCUCUUUCCCUGCAGAAACACAAUUGAACAGAUUUAAUAAAUGUUCGUCUUUGUCAAUAA